ACCAGAAAGAGCUGGCCUCUGGGGUCUGCGCUGCCCCUUGGGGUCCGCUCCAGGCGGCGCCUCCCCUGCGCCCUUUGUGUGCACGCCGCAAACCCCUCUGCAGAGCUCUACUUUUGGCGGCACAGCCUUCGGCGGAAAAGCGAGUGAAAGGAGGCGCGCGGGACAAGCAGGAGACUGGAAGGGGGGAAAAGGCAACCGCACUCACUUUGGCAAGGUUCCGUCAUGUUGCCUUUGGGCUGUCCCGUGGACUCGUCCCUCACCCCAGCUUCCCCGCCCAGCCAGGGCCAGGGCGAGGGGGGACGGGGGAGGAGCGGAGCCAUCAAGACCGACUUGGAAAUGGUGCUUCCGGAGCUGCAGGGAAGGGGCUCAGAAACUGUUUGGGUUUUGCUGAUUGGAUUUUGGGGAACCAGAGGGCUAGAGAGGGGCUAGGGGAAGGCCCGUGAGCACGGAUGUAUGAAAAUAAUCAUGUUCCCGGGGAAUACCAAGAGGGUCGGGGGUGAGGGUGGGAGGUCGGCAAGUACAUUUUUGUAUUUGAACUUUGUGAGCAAGUUGUAUCAAAUCCGACACUUGAGUUUUUCGACUGUGCUCGCUUAGAGUUGAGGUUUCUACCUCGUAACAGGACCGAGGACCUACUUCAAAAGCAAAGGGCCUGGGAACAGGGGUGAACGAAGGGCACAAUUCAACAGGGGAGAGAAAUCAGCCCCGGGUCUUCCGUGGGUCCUCUUCUUACCUGGUGGCUUUUCUAACAAAGUAUGAGAAGGUAAAGUCCCAGUGAUCGUCCAGCCAUGCUUCGACCGAGUCCUGAUCCCUCUGCUGCUGCUUCUGCUGCUGGGGCUGCUGCUGCUGUCGCUGCUGCCCGAAGCUGGGGCCGGCCCGCUCCAUGGUUGGCACCGCGCGCCUCGGAGGCUCUCUGGUACUGCUUUUCCACCCCAGCUGGGGUCCGUCCCUCAGAAGAACAGGACUCGGCCUCGAGACCCUCCCCCUUCGUCCUGCUCCAGUCGGGCCGGCUUUCGACAAAGCGGCCGGAGCGCCAGGCCAGCCUCCUGCCCCGCCCCGCCCCGCGCGGUUCUACGGGCGCCCAGGUGUGGUGGGCGGGGCCAGGCGCAGCUGCUGCGCCCCCCCCACCCGGGGUCCGGCAGUGUUCCGCUCUCGCAGGCUCUUCAGUCCCCUGGUUCCCAGGAGGCGGCGGCGGCGGCGGCAGCGGCAGCGCCCGGCGAGCUCUCCGGAAGCCAAGUGGCGGCGGCUGGAAGGAGGCCGCGCGGCCGCUGGGGUGCGCUGUGUGCCAAGCCGACUUCUGGGGAGCGCGCUAGGUGACUGGGUGUGUUCUCAGAGUGCCCCAGGGAGGGAAGGUCGCGAUGUGGGAAGUUUUGCCCGAAAGUAAGAGAUGAUGAGACCCUGGGCCCUUUUCCUGGGGCCUGGGAGUGCAAUGACCUUCCCGCCUAGCUUUUCCCUAGCCCUACGCUUGGGUCUGGGAGGAGCGGGACCGACCUCCUUCAGAGCCCAGCCCGCUCAGUGACUUAAAGCGGUCCAGCCACGGACCACUGCGGGUGGAGAGAGCUGGGGCGUGUGCUAGCAAGAGAGAUUUGCAGGUGUAGGUGGGUAACUUGCAACAAAGCCAUACCCGUGCUUAAUGUUAAUGAUAACAGCAAUAAUUAUAACUUAAGUGCCUUUAACCAUUGCCUCAAACUUCCCUUAUGCAUAACUGGAAAAAGAUUUACUUGGAAAAGAAAAAGCAAACAAAUAAUUUCCAAUGCUUUGUGCAUGAAGUUAGAAAACAAGGGCACCUCUGUACAAUUAGGUUAAUCCGAGAGCACUGGCGCAACCCAGGUGCAGUCGAGGGCAACCAGUUAUCCCAAUUUUAAAUUAAUGCAUCAUUUUAAUUAAAUUGGAAUUAACACUCCCUCAAAAGUAUCCAUUAAAAAUGGCUCAGCCUUUUUGUCCAAUCCCUAUCUUGCUUCUUUAAAAAAGGAAUUGGUGUCAUCCUUUGCUUUGUCUGCAUCCCCAUCUUCCUGUCAUGCAUUGGCAGUUUUAAUAUGGCAUUUUGCAAUGACCUAUAUUUUUUGGUAGAAUUAAAUCUGGAAUUAUGGGUUGCACAAUGUGUGAAUGACACCAUUAGCAGUGAUAUAAAAAAAAAUGAGUUAGCUGAUAUACUUCUGACAACUUCCUUCUAAAUACUCUUGGCAAGAAUUUAAGGCAUUAUUCACUACAUAGAAACACAUCAUUAAAUUGAUAAUCUGAGAACUUUUAAAAGUAUCUUCUAGUCCCCCAAUGCAAUGGUUUAUCUUUCCUUCAUUGAGUAAUUGACCUUUUGCGACUUCAGUUUUUCUGAAACUUUACUGCUGUAUGCAGGUAGCCACAACCAAAGAAAAGCAAUCAAAGCAGUAGAGUAUGAACUAAUGGGUGAUAAAUUAUAUUGGAUUUAGAAAUGAGAAUUCUCUCCUAAUGUGUUACUAUGAUAGUGAUUAUAGUGCUCAUGGAAUACAGUCAUGCGUCACCGAACAACAGGAUACAUUCUGAGAAAUGUAUCCUUAGGCAAUUUCAUCCUUCUCUGAACAUCACAGUGUACUAACACAAAAUAGAUGGCUCAGCCUACUACACACUUAGGCUAUUGCUCCUAGACCACAAAUCUAUACAGCAUAUUACUGUACUGAAUACUGUAGGCAAUUGUAAUGCAAUGAUAUUUGUGUGUCUAAACAUAUCUAAACAUAGAAAAGGUACAGUAAAAAUAUAGUAUUAUCUUAUGGGACUCAUAUAUGUGGUCUGUCGUUGACUGAAAAGUGGCACAUUACUGUGGAAAGUUUCUCCUCAGUACAGUUUUUUCUUGUGGAAAUCCAUGCAUUCCUCCUAACAGGAGAUCAAUCGUAAUUUAAAACUCUGCUUAUCUACUAAAGAUGCAGUGAAUUUGGGGCUUGAAUUAUUUGCUUUUGUUGGAUACUUGAUUAAAUAAACACGUAUAAUCAUUUCAA
rnacentral:lncRNA from 1 species